AGGAGGGAUGAUGAUCUGCCACAGCUCAAACUCCUUUGGAAACAGAGCAGAAGAUUCCACGAGUGCUUAGAUUCUGAGAGCCAGCAUGCCCUGCUAUACCCAGUUUGAAGAUUUCAGAAAGCACUGCCCUACACAUCUUGACUUUGACCUGCUGUGACAUCCCCUACUAAUCACUGUUGAACACCACACAUCUCAGACAGGCAUCUGCAUCUUAACUCAUGGCAGCCCCUUUUGUUCCACUCCUGACACUGGAAAACUGUGCCAUUGCACCUCAGUUGUGACUUGCAGCUACCAGAGAUUUGUGUGGGACCAGGACUGGAAAAGCAGAGUGGCAGGAGGUCAGAAAUAACAGGCUUUGGCAGAGCUGGAUAGGGGAUGUUUCCCCAGUGCUUAGGAGCAUAAUUAUUAUUAACAGGAGGGGAUACCGAGAAACCAGUGUGGCUUGAUUUAAAUCAAAGCAAUUUAAAUAACUGAUUUUAAUCACGAUUUAAUUCAGCAUGCAGGAAACCUUGAUUUAAACAAGCAAUUGUAAUCAUUUUUGCAUUUGUACUUUUUAGUUAUUUUCCUAAAGAAAAGUUGAUUGUCAUUGGUUGGUAAUCAUUAAAAAUCGUGAUUUGCAAACUAAAAUAGCCUUUAAAAUAAA